UCCUUUUGGAAAGGCCCUGAACGCGCGGGGUGUGUGGGCAUCGCUGGAUGAGCCGCGCGGAACGAAGCGGUGGAACCCGCCGACUGCUGGCUUUUCCCCCAACGUUACUUCCGGCGAGACAGCAAACUCCUUCAAACCCUUUCCCCUCCGUGCACGCGUCUCCGCGUGUGUGUGUAUUGGGUGCGUGUGCGUCCGGGUGUCUGGGGUCUGGCCUGCCUUGGGGUUACCCAAUGGGAAGAACCCACCGGCAGGAGACGAGUAGGCUCUGCCUCCAUCACUGGACAACCUCGGACAGAUGACUUCACUUUUGUGGUCCCCAGUUGGUUCAGCCGUCUCGAAGUCAGAGGGCGUGCCUAGGAGGAAGCCGCAAACUGGAAACUACCCCAGGCAGCCAAGGACCUGCCCUGAUUCUUGGGAAGAGCCUGCCUGCGGUUGUAAUGUUACGCAAAAGGCUGGCAUCUCCCCCUGCGGCUCCUGAAGGCUGCUCAGGUGUGUGCACACGGGACCGCUGCACCAGCCCGCCCUGACCUCUAGCACUGUAAUACGUAGCUCUAUCCAUGCCGUUGCAAGUGGCAAGAUUUCAUUCUUUCCGGUGGCUGAGUCUCGUCCCGCUGUAGAGAUCUGCCGCUUCUCCUUGACCUGCUCGUCCGUCCGUGGACACUCCGUGGACACUGGGGCCACUUCCAGAAUUUGGCUAUUGUAAAUAAUGUUGCAAUAAGCCCAGGGUGCAUGUAUCUUUUUGGAUUAAUGUUCUCGUAUUCUUUGGGCAAAUGUACAGUAGCGGAGUGACUGGAUCAUAGGGUAGCUCUAUUUUUAGCAUUUUGUGGGCUCUCUGUACUGUUUUGUAGAGCGGCUGCACCAGGUUGUAUUCCCACCAACUACCUUAGCAUUUUAACAAGUGUCAGGUGCUGACUGGGAGGUUCUCAUGGCAUCCACUGGAAAGGAGAGGGCUUUGGGAAGGCUCCCAGAAAGGGGGUGCAAAAUUUAAAGAUUUUAUUUACUUAUUUGACAGAGAGCAGAGAGCCCGAUGCGGGACUCGAUCCCAGGACCCUGAG